ensembl:processed_transcript
AGGAUUGAGAGGGUUUCCAGUGUUAAACUAUACUGACUGUGCCUCACUGUUUUGUUAAGUCGCGUGGUGCACGCAGAUGGUGAAGCAGAGGAUUGAGAGGGUUUCCAGUGUUAAACUAUACUGACUGUGCCUCACUGUUUUGUUAAGGGAAUAAAUCAGUGUUUCUCCACCUCAUCUGUGUGUGUGACCGUGUUUGAGAGG